GCUUCUACCACCCUUACCCCUCCCAUAGCAACCCUCACUAUUGCAACGUGACCAUGCCGAAGGGGAACUAGCACUCCCAGCCUGGAGUAGGUCUUGUCAAUCUGAUUUUUAAAUGAUGGAGGAGGUUUGAGGACAAAGCUCAUGGAGGCAUGAGGAUGCAAAAGAUCAAGUGAAAGGGAGGAAAGAUCUUCCGACUGUGAGCACAUUCUCAGACUUAGAGGACAGAGAGGUAUUUAAAGUGAACUGGAACAAACCUGCAACAUCAGGUGCAGUUCUGCCUUCAAAAAUAGCUGCCAGUUAGAAAGGGUUAUUUACAUAUUGAUUUCAUGCUAACUUUGUAAUGGAAUGUGCUGCCUGCCUGCCUGAGACCUAACAACUGUCAUCAUAAUUUUUUCUAAAAAUACAGGCAGAGAAAAACACUCGGUGAACCCUCCACUGGAAAGUGGCUACAAAAGACCCUCAUCCCAAACCUACUCCACCGACCAUGUCCUAGAGCAGGGAUUCUCAACAAUCACCACCGAGCAACACUUCCCAGCUGCAGUCAGCCCUUCCUUCCCUCUUCCAACCAGCUCGCACUUUUUUUUUCCCCCUUCUAGAAAAAUCUGUCUUGUUCUCAGGCCUGAUGGAGCUGAUUCGGUUGUGAUCCUGGGCAUAUGGAUGGCAUAUUUGCUGAGAGCUAGCCGGGCCCCCGCUGCUGGGGACAAAUCUUUCAUUCACGGACAGGAGCUUGUUAGGCCAACUCGGGACUCCAAAGCCACUUAAUUAAAUUGUGGAAAGU